rnacentral:rRNA from 1 species
AGAGUUUGAUCAUGGCUCAGAAUGAACGCUGGCGGCGUGCCUAAGACAUGAAAGUCGUACGUGAAAGUGGCUUCGGCCAUGAGUAAAGUGGCGCACGGGUGAGUAAGACUUGAGUAAUGCGCCUCCUCGCUGGGGAUAACCAGGCGAAAGCUUGGCUAAUACCGAAUAGUCCGUCGAGAUUUUCGAAUUUUGCCGGUAAAGCCGUAAGGCGUGAGGAGAGUAGCUCGAGUCCCAUUAGCUAGUUGGUAGGGUAAAAGCCUACCAAGGCUACGAUGGGUAGCUGGUCUGAGAGGACGAUCAGCCACACUGGUACUGGAACACGGACCAGACUCCUACGGGAGGCAGCAGUUAGGAAUUUUGCGCAAUGGGGGAAACCCUGACGCAGCAACGCCGCGUGGAGGAUGAAGGCCUUCGGGUUGUAAACUCCUUUUAGCAGGAAAGAACACAAUGACGGUACCUGCAGAAAAAGCACCGGCUAACUCUGUGCCAGCAGCCGCGGUAAUUC